rnacentral:rRNA from 1 species
CAAAAACAUAGCUAAUAGAAAAAAUUAUUAUUAGUAAUGCCUGCUCAAUGGAAAUAGCCGCGGUAACACCUGACCGUGCAAAGGUAGCAUAAUAAACCGCCUACUAAUUAUAGGAUAGAAUGAAGGUAAAACGAAGACCCAACUGUCUCAAGACCCUAAAAUUAAAAAUAGAAUGUGUGUGCAAAUCCACACUAAAACGGCAAGACGACUAGACCCUAAGAACUUUAAGUUCUAAGUUUCGUUGGGGCAACGAUCUUUAAAAAAGUAACUAAGACAAAACCCAUUAAUCACUUAAUGGAAAAAAAUAAAAGUUCCUUAGGGAUAACAGCGUUAUAUCGUUCUUUAGAAAAUCUUCAAACGAUGUUUGCGACCUCGAU